GCCCUCUCAAGCUUUCUUUCUCUCUUUCUUAUUCCAAGUACAAGGAAGAAAACACUUCAAUCUUGUUCCAAAUCAUCAAAAUUAACCAUCCAACCUUGAAAUUACUCCAUAAAACUCUUCAAUUAGAGUUAGUAAGUGGAUUUGUGGAGUUGUUUGGAAAGUUAAGGUGAUCAAUAGCUCUCUCUCUCUUGUUUUAAAGGUAAGUUGUGAAGAACCACCCCCCUCCUUUAAUUGAUGCUUAAAUCAUGCUUAGUGAAAGUAGAAGAUGCAAGUUUAUGGAUUAUUUCUUGAUUUGUGGUUGAAAUGAUGAAAUUUUAUUAUUUUUGGGGAUUUUUCUGUUUUAAUAUAAGCAUGAUUGUGUGGCUAUCUAUGAUGAUUAGAAAUGGUAUAUAGUGACCCUAGGAGGUGGAAAAAGUGAUUAAUUGCAACCAAUUUCUGGUUUGGAUGAAAUUUCAGAAAAACUAGGGUUCCUUGUUCUUCAUUCUGUCCGAAAUUUUAGGUCCUAGUUAGAGGCCGAAUUGGCCUUGGCUUAAAACAUAAAAGUUGUAGAGAAUGACAUUUUAGAGGUGCCUACAAAAUUUCAGGUCAAUCGAAAUAGUGUAGAGUGAGAUAAGUCGAAAUUACUAUUGCUGUUCUGGUUUUACCCGAAUGUCAGAUUUGCUUCUGUAAUUGGUUGUUUUGGUCUGGAUUGCUUCCGAAUGAGUUGUUGAAGUCUUCUGAUGAAAUUUAGCCCUGUUUCUUAGCUUUCAACCGAUUUUGGAAUUUCUGAAUUUGGACUUGUAGAGCCUGAGUUAUGAUAUUUCCGCUAGAAUGCGUUUUGGUGAAUCUGUUUUACGUUUUGAUGUAGUAUCUUGCUUUUUUGACCUGUUUGCACUCAAAACUGGGUUGAGUGACCUUCUGUGAUGUUGUAGCCCUGUCUUUUAGCUUCGAAAUGGUGGGUCUUACACCUUCAUCCGAUAAUCAUAGGGCAUUUGGUGCCAUUACCGCAAAAAGAAGUCAAAAACUGUUUUUUCAGGGCCAAAGCUAAUUGCAUUUCCGAAUUUUCUGGUUUUCUCUAAUGAUUGUAUAUGCUUAUGGAACCCUAUUAGGGUCAUAUUUGGCAUUGAUUUAUGAUUAGUUAUCGAGUCUCAUUGUACUUGUUUGCAUGUUUGCAUGUUUGUACUUGUACUACUUUGAGUCUAGUGAACGGCUUUUGGGAAAUGAGAUGAAUUUUGCGUGAGAUGUUGGGACUGAUUUGAGGAAAUAAUGAAGCCAUGAUGGCUGGAAAAUAGGUAAAAACAAGGGAUAUGCUGCCGAAAUUUUACUUGAAGGCUAGUUGGAUUUACUUGUGAUUUGAGCAAAGGGCUUUUGGGUUGUUUGCGCCUAGGUCUUCAUGUUACCUUUUCGUUUCCAAGAAAAUCAUGUUUUCCACCCUUGCAUUAGUAUUUAAUUGGUAAGGCGUACGACGUGUAGUCGAGCCUCACUUGUGCAUUCCGUUUACUCGAUUUUGGAUAUGAAACCUUCAAUUAGUUUACUUUGAUUAUUUUAGGGUUUCUUGGCGAUUAAGGCCAAUCUGAAGUGAAAAUUUUUGAAGUUGAGCCGGUGAGUGUACCACUCCCCUCCAUUGCUGUUUAACUUGAUUUCUGCUCUGCAAUCUGUUUAGUUUGUUUGAGACGAGGGUGUACUUUAUCACACUCGUUCUCUUGUCUGUUCAUAUGCCAAUUUUGGUGUCAAUCUGAAUCUGUAUCUGUAUCUGAUAUCUGUAUCUGAAUCUGUAUCUGUAUCUGUUCGGACGUCGUUUGGAAACUUGUAACCAACGCUUUCUGUGACCUAUGAGCUCAAAUCCUGUGGCUAAAUUAUUCGAGUCGGGCCGGCAAGGGCCUGGACGAUUAGAUAACGAACCACGGUAGUCUGUUUUGGGAUCUUUGGGAAUUGAGACCCUUGAUUCCGAUAUACUCGAGUAUUACCAUUUCUGUUCGGUUACGGUGAGCGGCCCGGUAAAGGGGUGUUUGGUGGACGGAAUUCGGUGUAAAGAGGGGUCUACGGACGCGUUGGUUCUAUAUACGUUGACGGAGAGUCAACCGGUUUGGAUCAAGUACUGCGCUGGAAAUUUGGCUCCUGAGAGCCACCCGUAUCCUUCUGAUUUGAAUCAUUGGUUCCUUUGCUUUACAUCUGGCAUGUGUACUUGAGUUGCUAAACGUGAAAUGCCAUGAUUUUAUUGCUAUCUGGUUGGUACCUCAUUGAGCGCAAGCUCACCCCUUUCUGUUCCUUUUGUUUUCCUUACAGGAAAAUAAACACUUUUGG
rnacentral:lncRNA from 1 species